rnacentral:sRNA from 1 species
AUGGCUGUUAGUUAAGCGUUGAAUAUUUUUGGCCAAUUAUAAAGUCUAGAUGUAGAUCUACAUUAAGUUCAUUUGUGUAGGCCUAAUAAGUUAAAAAUACAUUUUAAUUAUGCUCUUUUCGUAGUAAAAUCAGUUAAAAACGGGUAUGUUUAUUGCCCAGGCAAUCAUCUCAUCAUCCAUGAUAUGAUCCAUGUUGUUUCGCGACUGAAGGAGGCCAGAUAAUGUUUAUGGGUGUCAGUUUACAAUUAAGUCAAUGUCUCUACCGUAAUUUUUUCGCGGCUAGCGAUUGUAGGCUACAUCGCUCAACCAUAGACAAUUGAAAACUGUUAAUCUCUUAACAAAACUCUGAAAUGUAUCAAGCUCUUUAUUUUGUUUUGAAGAAAUAAAUGAAUUAAUUUUGUUAGAGAA